rnacentral:rRNA from 1 species
AGGAAGGUAGUGUAGUUAACACCUGCACUAUUUGACGUUACCUACAGAAGAAGCACCGGCUAACUCCGUGCCAGCAGCCGCGGUAAUACGGAGGGUGCGAGCGUUAAUCGGAAUUACUGGGCGUAAAAGCGCAUGCAGGCGGCCUGUUAAGUCAGAUGUGAAAAGCCCGGGCUUAAACCUCGGAAAUUGCAUUUGAAAACUGGCAGGCUAGAGUCUUGUAGAGGGGGUAGAAUUUCAGGUGUAGCGGUGAAAAUGCGUAGAGAUCUGAAGGAAUACCAGUGGCGAAGGCGGCCCCUGGACAAAGACUGACGCUCAGAUGCGAAAGCGUGGGGAGCAAACAGGAUUAGAUACCCUGGGAG